rnacentral:rRNA from 1 species
UGUCCAGACUCCUCCGGGAGGCAGCAGUGAGGAAUAUUGGUCAAUGGCCGAGAGGCUGAACCAGCCAAGUCGCGUGAGGGAAGACUGCCCUAUGGGUUGUAAACCUCUUUUGUCAGGGAGCAAUUGGCGCUACGUGUAGCGUUAUCGAGAGUACCUGAAGAAAAAGCAUCGGCUAACUCCGUGCCAGCAGCCGCGGUAAUACGGAGGAUGCGAGCGUUAUCCGGAUUUAUUGGGUUUAAAGGGUGCGUAGGCGGACGGGAAAGUCAGGGGUAAAAUCGGGGGGCUCAACCUCUUUCCGCCGUUGAAACUGUCGGUCUUGAGUGGGCGAGAAGUAUGCGGAAUGCGUGGUGUAGCGGUGAAAUGCAUAGAUAUCACGCAGAACUCCGAUUGCGAAGGCAGCAUACCGGCGCCCAACUGACGCUGAAGCACGAAAGCGUGGGUAUCGAACAGGAUUAGAUACCCCGGUAAA